rnacentral:misc_RNA from 1 species
UGGGUCUUCUUUGUUUUGGUGUUACUGUUUAUCUGUAUAAUUGGUUCUUUAGAGCUUUUGAAUUGGUUACUACUUUUAGCCCUCAUUUGGUUUUUGUUUCUUUUUAUCCCUUUUUUCCCCAAAUUGGUUUCUUUUAAUCAUCAUUUUCAGCAUCAUCCAUUCCUAUAUCAAUUUCCCAGUUUUGAAUUUUCUUUCCAUGUUUAUAAACUUCGGUGCAUUCAAUCUUGCCAUUGAUUUUCCACAGCUCAUAACCUGGAAAUUUGUGAAAAUUACCUCUCUUGAAUGUAGGCGGUCUUGGCAUUGGCGACUUGUUUUUAUCCCCUAGUGAGUUAUGC